UUACGGCCGUAUCAUAUUGAAACAGCGUUUCCCGUAUGAUCACCGAAGUUAAGCAACGUCGAGCCUGGUCAGUACCUAGAUGGGUGACCGCUUGGAAAUACCAGGUGCUGUAAG
rnacentral:rRNA from 1 species